GACAGUCUUUGGCAUAACCAUCCAACUUGGAUGGUUAUACCGUUGACUGUCUUCGGCAUAAACAUUCAACUUGGAAAACAGUUGAAUGUCUUCGGCAUAACCAUUCAACUUGGAUGGUUAUGACAUUGACUGUC